AGAAUGAACGCUGGCGGCGUGCUUAACACAUGCAAGUCGAGCGAGGCCAGGGGGGCAACUCCCUGAGUCGAGCGGCGGACGGGUGAGUAACACGUGGGUAACCUACCCGGAAGUGGGGAAUACCUCGGGGAAACUCGAGCUAAUACCGCAUAACAUCUUGGACGAAAGUUCUGACGAUCAAAGCGGGGUCGCAAGAUCUCGCGCUACCGGAUGGGCCCGCGCCCGAUUAGCUAGUUGGUGAGGUAAUGGCUCACCAAGGCGACGAUC
rnacentral:rRNA from 1 species